GAUGAAGAACGCAGCGAAAUGCGAUAAGUAAUGUGAAUUGCAGAAUUCAGUGAAUCAUCGAAUCUUUGAACGCACCUUGCGCUCCUUGGCAUUCCGAGGAGCAUGCCUGUUUGAGUGUCGUUGGAAUCCCUCUCAAAACCGCUCCUGAUCAUCAGGAAAAGUGGGUAUGGAUUGUUGGAGGAUGCAAUGGCGCUGGUUGUGCCUUUUGCUUCUCUGAAAUGGAUUGGCUGUUGAUCGCGAACCGGUCGUCGGGUGUCAUAUAUGAAUGAAUAACCUUUCUUCUACCCACUUCCAACCCGUGUGCCAGCACAGCCAGAGAAGAUGACCUUCUCUCUCUCACACACACACACACUACUACUACUACUUGACCUCAAAUCAGGCAGGACUACCCGCUGAACUUAAGCAUAUCAAUAAGCGGAGGA
rnacentral:misc_RNA from 1 species